GAUGAACGCUGGCGGCGUGCCUAAUACAUGCAAGUAGAACGCUGAAGGAAGGAGCUUGCUCUUUCCGGAUGAGUUGCGAACGGGUGAGUAACGCGUAGGUAACCUGCCUGGUAGCGGGGGAUAACUAUUGGAAACGAUAGCUAAUACCGCAUAACAGUAGAUGUUGCAUGAUAUCUACUUAAAAGGUGCAAUUGCACCACUACCAGGUGGACCUGCGUUGUAUUAGCUAGUUGGUGAGGUAACGGCUCACCAAGGCGACGAUACAUAGCCGACCUGAGAGGGUGAGCGGCCACACUGGGACUGAGACACGGCCCAGAAUCCUACGGGAGGCAGCAGUAGGGAAUCUUCGGCAAUGGACGGAAGGCUGACCGAGCAACGCCGCGUGAGUGAAGAAGGGUUUCGGAUCGUAAAGCUCUGUUGUAAGAGAAGAACGAGUGUGAGAGUGGAAAGUUCACACUGUGACGGUAUCUGACCAGAAAGGGACGGCUAACUACGUG
rnacentral:rRNA from 1 species